AGAUGUGAGGGCCAUCUGGCUGCGACAACUUGUCACCCCAUUGAUCGCCAGGGUUGAUGGCUAUCUGGCUGGCUAGGCAGGUGUCCCCUUCCUCCCUCACUGCUCCAUGUGUGUCCCUCCCAAAGUUGUGCACUUGGUCAGCUGAAGAGGAUGGCCUUUUCUGAAUAGAAAUGGACCAGUCUUGGUCAAGGGUAUAUAAGUAGCCUGUGUUUCCCUGUAGUUGUACUUCCCUGCUUAGAACCUCCAAACAAGCUCUCAAGGUAUGGAAGGAGUCUACAAUGUAAGCAGCUCUGAAGCUCAAGUUUUGUUAUCUUCAGGAUGAAUUAGCCCCAAUUCCAGGAGGU
rnacentral:snRNA from 1 species